rnacentral:rRNA from 1 species
UACGGAGGGUGCAAGCGUUGCUCGGAAUUAUUGGGCGUAAAGGGUAGGUAGGUGGUCUCAUUUGUCUGGGGUGAAAUCCUUGAGCUUAACUCAAGAAGUGCCUUAGAAACGGUGAGACUGGAGUCCUGGAGAGGGUCGUGGAAUUCCCGGUGUAGCGGUGAAAUGCGUAGAGAUCGGGAGGAACACCAGCGGCGAAGGCGGCGACCUGGACAGGUACUGACACUCAACUACGAAAGCGUGGGGAGCAAACAGG